rnacentral:rRNA from 1 species
GACGAACGCUGGCGGCGAGCCUAAUACAUGCAAGUCGAGCGAAUGGAUUAAGAGCUUGCUCUUAUGAAGUUAGCGGCGGACGGGUGAGUAACACGUGGGUAACCUGCCCAUAAGACUGGGAUAACUCCGGGAAACCGGGGCUAAUACCGGAUAACAUUUUGAACCGCAUGGUUCGAAAUUGAAAGGCGGCUUCGGCUGUCACUUAUGGAUGGACCCGCGUCGCAUUAGCUAGUUGGUGAGGUAACGGCUCACCAAGGCAACGAUGCGUAGCCGACCUGAGAGGGUGAUCGGCCACACUGGGACUGAGACACGGCCCAGACUCCUACGGGAGGCAGCAGUAGGGAAUCUUCCGCAAUGGACGAAAGUCUGACGGAGCAACGCCGCGUGAGUGAUGAAGGCUUUCGGGUCGUAAAACUCUGUUGUUAGGGAAGAACAAGUGCUAGUUGAAUAAGCUGGCACCUUGACGGUACCUAACCAGAAAGCCACGGCUAACUACGUGCCAGCCGCCGCGGUAA